GGAAGUAAAAGUCGUAACAAGAUCUCCGUAGGUGAACCUGCGGAGGGAUCAUUACAGAGUUCAUGCCCUACCGGGUAGAUCUCCCACCCUAUGUUAUUAUUACUUUGUUGCUUUGGCGGGCCGUUAGGCUCCGGCCCGACUACCGGCCCCGGCUGGUAAGCGCCCGCCAGAGGACCCAAAACCCUGAAUAUUAGUGUCGUCUGAGUACUACAUAAUAGUUAAAACUUUCAACAACGGAUCUCUUGGUUCUG
rnacentral:misc_RNA from 1 species